CAGGCCUAACACAUGCAAGUCGAACGAGACCUUUGGGUCUAGUGGCGCACGGGUGCGUAACGCGUGGGAAUCUGCCCUUGGGUUCGGAAUAACAGUGGGAAACUACUGCUAAUACCGGAUGAUGACGUAAGUCCAAAGAUUUAUCGCCCAGGGAUGAGCCCGCGUAGGAUUAGCUAGUUGGUGGGGUAAAGGCCUACCAAGGCGACGAUCCUUAGCUGGUCUGAGAGGAUGAUCAGCCACACUGGGACUGAGACACGGCCCAGACUCCUACGGGAGGCAGCAGUGGGGAAUAUUGGACAAUGGGCGAAAGCCUGAUCCAGCAAUGCCGCGUGAGUGAUGAAGGCCUUAGGGUUGUAAAGCUCUUUCACCGGUGAAGAUAAUGACGGUAACCGGAGAAGAAGCCCCGGCUAACUUCGUGCCAGCAGCCGCGGU
rnacentral:rRNA from 1 species